rnacentral:rRNA from 1 species
UACGAAGGGUGCAAACGUUGCUCGGAAUUAUUGGGCGUAAAGAGCUCGUAGGCGGUUCGUCGCGUCGGCUGUGAAAUCCCGAGGCUCAACCUCGGGUCUGCAGUCGAUACGGGCGGACUGGAGUUCGGCAGGGGAGACUGGAAUUCCUGGUGUAGCGGUGAAAUGCGCAGAUAUCAGGAGGAACACCGGUGGCGAAGGCGGGUCUCUGGGCCGAUACUGACGCUGAGGAGCGAAAGCGUGGGGAGCGAACAGG